UGUAUAGUCCAGAAUUCGUCGAAUUCUAGGCGACGUCGCCCCUGUGCUGGAACCCUGUCACUCUUAUAGCGGACCAGCAGCCAGGAUUUCCUGGUUCACAGAUUAGGUGGUGGCGGUCCCCAAGUCCUUGAGGCUAGGAUCAAGAUAUAAUCGGUCUCCAUCCCCACAACGAUGGUUGAGAAACGUUCCGUAGGUGAACCUGCGGAAGGAUCAUUAUCGAGUUAGGGUCCUCUGGGCCCCAUCUCUAACCCUUGUCUAUUCUACCAUGUUGCUUUGGCGGGCCCGUCUUUAACCGGACCGCUGGGGACUCGUGUCCCUGGCCCGCGCCCGCCAGUAGCCCCCACAAAUUCUUUGAGCAGUGAUGUCUAAGUAUAAAUAUAAUAACUAAAACUUUCAACAACGGAUCUCUUGGUUCUGGCAUCGAUGAAGAACGCAGCGAAAUGCGAUAAGUAAUGCGAAUUGCAGAAUUCCGUGAGUCAUCGAAUCUUUGAACGCACAUUGCGCCCUUUGGUAUUCCGAAGGGCAUGCCUGUUCGAGCGUCAUUAUCAACCCUCAAGCCCGGCUUGCUUGUUGGGUCUCACCGUUGAGAUACACGGUGGAUCCCAAAGAAAAUGGCAGAGUCCGUGGGGACCCUGGAUGCAGCGAGCUUCUUAGCACGCGUCUGGACGGUCUCCCGGCUCGGUCUUAACCAAUUUAUUUUUUCUGGUUGACCUCGGAUCAGGUAGGGAUACCCGCUGAACUUAAGCAUAUCAAUAAGCGGAGGAAAAGAAACCAACAGGGAUUGCCUCAGUAACGGCGAGUGAAGCGGCAACAGCUCAAAUUUGAAAUCUGGCUCCUCUAGGGGUCCGAGUUGUAAUUUGUAGAGGAUGCUUCGGGCAAGGCUGUGGUCUAAUUUGCUUGGAACAGCGAGUCAUAGAGGGUGAGAAUCCCGUCUAGGAUCGUAAGCCGCGUCCAUGUGAAGCUCCUUCGACGAGUCGAGUUGUUUGGGAAUGCAGCUCUAAAUGGGUGGUAAAUUUCAUCUAAAGCUAAAUAUUGGCCAGAGACCGAUAGCGCACAAGUAGAGUGAUCGAAAGAUGAAAAGCACUUUGAAAAGAGAGUUAAACAGUAUGUGAAAUUGUUGAAAGGGAAGCGCUUGCAAUCAGACUUGUGUCUGACGGUUCCCCCGGCCUUCUGGCCGAGCUACUCCGUCAUGUCCAGGCCAACAUCGGUCUGGGGGGUCGGUGAAAGACCCCGGGAAUGUAUCUACCUUCGGGUCGACUUAUAGCCCGGGGUGUAAU
rnacentral:rRNA from 1 species